rnacentral:rRNA from 1 species
GUGGGGAAUAUUAGGCAAUGGGCGAAAGCCUGACCUAGCAACGCCGCGUGAAGGAAGAAGGCCUUCGGGUUGUAAACUUCUUUUAUGAGGGACGAAGGACGUGACGGUACCUCAUGAAUAAGCCACGGCUAACUACGUGCCAGCAGCCGCGGUAAUACGUAGGUGGCGAGCGUUGUCCGGAUUUACUGGGUGUAAAGGGCGCGUAGGCGGACUGGCAAGUCAGAUGUGAAAUACAGGGGCUCAACCCCUGAACUGCAUUUGAAACUGUUGGUCUUGAGUAUCGGAGAGGCAAGCGGAAUUCCUAGUGUAGCGGUGAAAUGUGUAGAUAUUAGGAGGAACACCAGUGGCGAAGGCGGCUUGCUGGACGACAACUGACGCUGAGGCGCGAAAGCGUGGGGAGCAAACAGGAUUAGAUACCCUAGUAGUCC